rnacentral:tRNA from 1 species
GAUUAGCUAGUCUAGUGGUUAAGACACCCAGCUAGAAACCGGGAGACCACGAGUUAGUUCAAAUCCUGCCUCAAUCA